AUACGUAGGGGGCGAGCGUUGUCCGGAAUGAUUGGGCGUAAAGGGCGCGUAGGCGGCCCGGUAAGUCUGGAGUGAAAGUCCUGUUUUUAAGAUGGGAAUUGCUUUGGAUACUGUCGGGCUUGAGUGCAGGAGAGGUAAGUGGAAUUCCAAGUGUAGCGGUGAAAUGCGUAGAGAUUGGGAGGAACACCAGUGGCGAAGGCGACUUACUGGACUGUAACUGACGCUGAGGCGCGAAAGUGUGGGGAGCAAACAGGAUUAGAUACCCUGGUAGUCCACACUGUAAACGAUGAAUGCUAGGUGUAGGGGGUAUCGACCCCUUCUGUGCCGCAGUCAACACAAUAAGCAUUCCGCCUGGGGAGUACGGCCGCAAGGUUGAAACUUAAAGGAAUUGACGGGG
rnacentral:rRNA from 1 species